ensembl:lncRNA
CCUGUGCCAGUGCCUCACCACUCUUUCUGAGAAUACAUUUUUCCUAAUAUCCACCCUAAAAGAAGACUUAAAUUCAAAUGCUUAGAUCAUACCGUAGUAAACCAGAAAUAAAUAACAUUCAUAGAAUCGCUAAGGUUGGAAAAGACCCACAGGAUCACCCAGUCCAACCAUUCGCCCAUCACCAAUGGUUCUCGCUAAACCAUGUCCCUCAACACAACAUCCAAACGCUCUUUGAACACCAAUUCCUAGUGGAGUUGAGCUCCUAAAAUUAUCUUUUAUGGGCCUAUCUGACUUGGAAAGAAAAAUCUACAGCAGAGGUAGGAACAGAUUCCUCUUUGAUUUCAGUCCAAGGUCUGAAGUGUUUGGCAGCACAAGCCUACAGAGCAAGAAGUAUCUGAUACUUGUUUGGUCAGAAAAGCCCAUUCUUUCCUUCAGAGCCCACAGUACAUGUUUAAGCAUUAGCCCUUGGUGUUCCCACCUGAUGCUAGAGCAGGACAAAGCAGGGGCUUUAACUGUGGCAUGGAAGCAGGGGGGAUGUCCAUGAGCCAGCCCAGAUGGACCAUCUGCUCCAAAGACAUGGCGAGGGGUCAAGCCAGCACACCUCAGCUUUCUAAAUUGAGCACAGAUCAGUUGUUUGCAGGGGUGGGGAGUACUGCAGACAAAAUGAUUAUUGCUUUCAGUAGCCGAGACAAUAAAGGGAUGAAAUUCAGCGAGGAAAGCACACAGGAGACCCAAAAUGACAUAAAACAAUUACCAUUGACCACAGCUUUUGAAGUAAUCAUAUCUAUUCUGCAUCAUGUUAAUACAAGGAAAUCUCAGCAGCUGGUAUUGGGCCCUCACUCAUUACGACAUAUCAACCUGAAAGUUCCCAUAAGUAUGAGCAACCCCUUGGUCAUGGGCACAGAGCCAUUAACCCUUUCCCCUCAAACUGUAAGAAAAUUCUCAUGGCUUGGUUUCACAGCAGAGCAACAGUCAGCAAUAAAAAAUACUCAUUUCCCGAAGUGAAAAAAGCUCAAGGGAGUUAGAAACAGUAAUCAAUAUACUCAGAAAGGCUCAUUUAAAUUAAUAUACAUGGCUUCUAAUUGGACUGCAAGUUAAUCUAUUUGAGCACUUCUCUAACCCCUAAAAAUAAGUAUGCUUGCAAUAUUCAAAAGAACAAAAUUCAUAAUCCAUUGAAUGCACAUCUUCAGACCCCGCUACAAUUCAGCUACAACCAUCUACCCUCUGCUUUGCCAUUUUAUUAUUAGUAUCCAUGUCAAUUUUGUUUGGAUACGUGAUUUCAAUGCUCCUGAGAAGGGCAUUGCCAGCUCGUGAAAUCUGUUGCUUACUCAGAGAAGAAGGUCAUGAAAAUAUGUGACUUGCUGCUUCCAAGAUUAUUGCUGCACCCCCACCUGAAAAGAAGCCCUGCUGCUUUGCAGGGAUGAAGAGCAGGAGUUUGCAAGUCUUUUUAGUAGAAGCUACUUACAGAAGAAAGACAGGCACCUCAAGUACAAAUGCUGUGGGACUGUGCCUAAAGGAAAACAGGAAUGCUGGUGGGCUUCUUUUUUGUUGUUGCUUAUUUGAUUGUUUCAUCUCUUCUGUGUUUUCAUUGGUUUUUUUCUGUUUGCUUGUUUGUUUUUGACAUAAUUGUGUCCUCACCACAUCCUUCUCUUUCCCAUCCCAGCCAGUUGCUAUCAGGGUUUAUUAAUUGCUCUGCAGUAAUGAGUUAAUGGGGUGACCGGGCUGCUAAUACUGCAUCCUUCACACUGUGUAUCACAUCUGACUCCUCUCACCACUGACAUAUCAUGGGAAGAAUUCCCAUUAAAAACAAAAUAAAGAGAAAAAAAGAAAAGAAAACAAACAGAAAAACUUGACUUUAUAACGGAGAUGAACUAAAAUUAGAACUGUAAAUUUAGGCCUUUGUUGGUUCUCACAAGAGAAGGGGUGUCCAAAUUAAAUUCCUGAAGUAUAUAGGAAAAGAUGAGGCUGUUUUCUGGCACUACUUGAG